rnacentral:rRNA from 1 species
GUAGGUGGCAAGCGUUGUCCGGAAUUAUUGGGGGCGUAAAAGCGCGCGCAGGCGGUUCUUUAAGUCUGAUGUGAAAGCCCACGGGCUCAACCGUGGAGGGUCAUUGGAAACUGGAGAACUUGAGGUACAGAAGAGGAAAGCGGAAUUCCACGUGUAGCGGUGAAAUGCGUAGAGAUGUGGAGGAACACCAGUGGCGAAGGCGGCUUUCUGGUCUGUAACUGACGCUGAGGCGCGAAAGCGUGGGGAGCAAACAGGAUUAGAUACCCUGGUAGUCCACGCCGUAAACGAUGAGUGCUAAGUGUUAGGGGGUUUCCGCCCCUUAGUGCUGCAGCUAACGCAUUAAGCACUCCGCCUGGGGAGUACGGCCGCAAAGGCUG